rnacentral:rRNA from 1 species
UACGAAGGGAGCUAGCGUUGUUCGGAAUCACUGGGCGUAAAGCGCACGUAGGCGGAUUUGUCAGUCAGGGGUGAAAUCCCGGGGCUCAACCUCGGAACUGCCUCGGAUACAGCAAGUCUUGAGUUCGAGAGAGGUGGGUGGAAUUCCUAGUGUAGAGGUGAAAUUCGUAGAUAUUAGGAAGAACACCGGUGGCGAAGGCGGCCCACUGGCUCGAUACUGACGCUGAGGUGCGAAAGCGUGGGGAGCAAACAGG